GAUGAAGAACGCAGCGAAAUGCGAUAAGUAAUGUGAAUUGCAGAAUUCAGUGAAUCAUCGAAUCUUUGAACGCACCUUGCGCCCUUUGGCCAUUCCGAAGGGCAUGCCUGUUUGAGUAUCAUGAACACCUCAACUCUUCAUGGUUUUCCAUGAUGAGCUUGGACUUUGGGGGUCUUGCUGGCCUGUGGGUCGGCUCCUCUCAAAUGAAUCAGCUUGCCGGUUUUUGGUGGGCAUCACAGGUGUGAUAACUAUCUACGCUUGUGGUUUUCCACCAGGGUAACCUUCAGCAGUGGAGGUUCACUGGAGCUUACAAUGUCUCUCCUCUGUGAGGACAGCCCUUUGAAUGUUUGAUCUCAAAUCAGGUAGGACUACCCGCUGAACUUAAGCAUAUCAAUAAGCGGAGGA
rnacentral:misc_RNA from 1 species